CGGGGGGGGGUGCUUACACAUGCAGUCGAGCGAGUGAAAAUAUUUGAUCCUUCGGGUGAAGAUGUUGGAUCUAGCGGCGGACGGGUGAGUAACGCGUGGGUAACCUACCCUGUUCACCGGGAUAACAUACCGAAAGGUAUGCUAACACCGGAUAAAAUGGUAGCUUCGCAUGGAGCAACCAUCAAAGGAAACGGAACAGGAUGGACCCGCGUUUCAUUAGCUAGUUGGUGAGGUAACGGCUCACCAAGGCGACGAUGAAUAGCCGACCUGAGAGGGUGAUCGGCCACACUGGAACUGAGACACGGUCCAGACUUCUACGGGAGGCAGCAGUGGGGAAUAUUGCACAAUGGGCGAAAGCCUGAUGCAGCAACGCCGCGUGAGCGAUGAAGGCCUUCGGGUCGUAAAGCUCUGUUCUAAGGGAAGAAUCAAUGACGGUACCUUAGGAGUAAGCCCCGGCUAACUACGUGCCAGCAGCCGCGGUAAUACGUAGGGGGCUAGCGUUAUCCGGAAUCACUGGGCGUAAAGGGUGCGUAGGCGGUUUAACAAGUCAGAGGUGAAAGGCUACGGCUCAACCGUAGUAAGCCUUUGAAACUGUUGAACUUGAGUAUAGGAGAGGAAAGUGGAAUUCCUGGUGUAGCGGUGAAAUGCGUAGAUAUCAGGAGGAACAUCGAUGGCGAAGGCAGCUUUCUGGACUAUUACUGACGCUGAGGCACGAAAGCAUGGGGAGCAAACAGGAUUAGAUACCCUGGUAGUCCAUGCCGUAAACGAUGAGUACUAGGUGUCGGGGGUCGAACCUCGGUGCCGACGCUAACGCAUUAAGUACUCCGCCUGGGGAGUACGCUCGCAAGAGUGAAACUCAAAGGAAUUGACGGGGACCCGCACAAGUAGCGGAGCAUGUGGUUUAAUUCGAAGCAACGCGAAGAACCUUACCUGGACUUGACAUCCUUUUGACCGCUCCUUAACCGGAGUUUUCCCUUCGGGGACAGAGUGACAGGUGUGCAUGAUGUCGUCAGCUCGUGUCGUGAGAUGUUGGGUAGUCCCGCACGAGCGCACCCUGCGUUAGCUACUACAGUCGCUGAGACUCUACGAACUGCGAGAUACUCGGAGAGGUGGGAUGACGUCAAUCAUCAUGUCCUUAUGUCAGCUAACAACGGCUCAAGUGUGUACACGCAUGCAAGUCCGGAACAUUAGCUAAUCUCCUCAAGGGGCA
rnacentral:rRNA from 1 species